rnacentral:rRNA from 1 species
UUAACACAUGCAAGUCGAGGGGCAGCAUGGUCUUAGCUUGCUAAGGCCGAUGGCGACCGGCGCACGGGUGAGUAACACGUAUCCAACCUGCCGUCUACUCUUGGACAGCCUUCUGAAAGGAAGAUUAAUACAAGAUGGCAUCAUGAGUCCACAUGUUCACAUGAUUAAAGGUAUUCCGGUAGACGAUGGGGAUGCGUUCCAUUAGAUAGUAGGCGGGGUAACGGCCCACCUAGUCUUCGAUGGAUAGGGGUUCUGAGAGGAAGGUCCCCCACAUUGGAACUGAGACACGGUCCAAACUCCUACGGGAGGCAGCAGUGAGGAAUAUUGGUCAAUGGGCGAGAGCCUGAACCAGCCAAGUAGCGUGAAGGAUGACUGCCCUAUGGGUUGUAAACUUCUUUUAUAAAGGAAUAAAGUCGGGUAUGGAUACCCGUUUGCAUGUACUUUAUGAAUAAGGAUCGGCUAACUCCGUGCCAGCAGCCGCGGUAAUACGGAGGAUCCGAGCGUUAUCCGGAUUUAUUGGGUUUAAAGGGAGUGUAGAUGGAUACUUAAGUCAGUUGUGAAAGUUUGCGGCUCAACCGUAAAAUUGCAGUUGAUACUGGAUAUCUUGAGUGCAGUUGAGGCAGGCGGAAUUCGUGGUGUAGCGGUGAAAUGCUUAGAUAUCACGAAGAACUCCGAUUGCGAAGGCAGCCUGCUAAGCUGCAACUGACAUUGAGGCUCGAAAGUGUGGGUAUCAAAC